ACACACACACACACUCAAAUACAUUUAAGAUGUUUAAACUCAGUCAUGUGACGUGUCUCUAUUUCCUACAGCUUGUCAUAACUGGUAUUGUCCUGGUGCAUGCUGGGAGGAAGCCAUCUAAAUGGCUGGUUCUGACAACCAUUGUUCUGCAAUUACUAACAGCAGCAUUUGAUGUUGUUGGAUUUGGGCUCUUAGCCAGACACAUCCCAUUCAGAGGAGAGUCGUACUUCUACAGGGACACAGAGGUAAACAAACAGAGAUGCCCCAUCUUGCUCAUCCUUAAGCCAAGACACCUUCAUUCCCACAAGUGACUCAAUAUUUCAAUACUGUAAACAAAACUGAUCAUAUACUUAUUGAAAUAUCCCAAGAAUGUCUUCAUCUGUUAAAAAAAAUGGGAAAAUGUUAUACUUCAACCGGCCCUCUUGCUUUGUUCACUGGCAAACAAUGGUUUCAGGACAUUUUAUUUCUGCCAGUCCUGUAAGUGGAACAGAAAAGCAGAUGAUAUUGAGAGUAGGAAUCAGGAAGCUGUACAUCGAUCUGUCCUGCUUGUUUCAGUGGUGGUCUGUUUGGACUCUGUUUGGGCUUGCUGUGGAGAAGGAGAGAAAGGGGAACAUAAAGAGGUGAGUUGUUUUACAAUGCAGCGGGAAAACCAUAAACACAUCCUGAGACUCUGAGCUGGAUUCAAAGUGCAAUUCGGUUCAGGAUGUAUCUAAUCUCAAUUUUCCCCCAAGUUUUAGACUGGUGUAAUGCACAAUUAUUAGUGUUUUAGGAGAGAACUCCUAAGCUUUUAUUAACUUAGAAUAACUUUUCUCUUUGGUGCACAAUUUAGGACGACUGAUAUGGGUUUUUCAAUGAAAGGUGAUGAUACCUGAUGAUAAGCGGCAUGGCCAUUUAAUGUUAAUGUAUCAGUAUUGUUAACUUAAAGCAUAAAAACUUUUUCUAUUAUUAUUUUAAAAUUAUGUAUGUUUAAUUAUAUAUUUACGUUCAAUUAUAAUAUUUAAAUAAAUUAAAAAAUAAAAAUAAAAAUAUUAGAUGA
ensembl:lncRNA